rnacentral:rRNA from 1 species
AUGGGUCUGCGUCUGAUUAGCUUGUUGGCGGGGUAACGGCCCACCAAGGCGACGAUCAGUAGCCGGUCUGAGAGGAUGAACGGCCACAUUGGAACUGAGACACGGUCCAGACUCCUACGGGAGGCAGCAGUGGGGAAUCUUCCGCAAUGGGCGCAAGCCUGACGGAGCAACGCCGCGUGAGUGAAGAAGGGUUUCGGCUCGUAAAGCUCUGUUGAAGGGGACGAACGGUAGGCAUAGGAAAUGAUGCUUAUUUGACGGUACCUUUCGAGGAAGCCACGGCUAACUACGUGCC